rnacentral:rRNA from 1 species
UUUGUCCGGAAAGAAAUCCUGAGGGCUAAUAUCCUUCGGGGAUGACGGUACCGGAAGAAUAAGCACCGGCUAACUACGUGCCAGCAGCCGCGGUAAUACGUAGGGUGCGAGCGUUAAUCGGAAUUACUGGGCGUAAAGCGUGCGCAGGCGGUUUGUUAAGACCGAUGUGAAAUCCCCGGGCUCAACCUGGGAACUGCAUUGGUGACUGGCAAGCUAGAGUAUGGCAGAGGGGGGUAGAAUUCCACGUGUAGCAGUGAAAUGCGUAGAGAUGUGGAGGAAUACCGAUGGC